rnacentral:rRNA from 1 species
CAGUCGCCGCGGUAAUACGGAGGAUCCAAGCGUUAUCCGGAAUCAUUGGGUUUAAAGGGUCCGUAGGCGGUCUUGUAAGUCAGUGGUGAAAGCCCAUCGCUCAACGGUGGAACGGCCAUUGAUACUGCAGGACUUGAAUUAUUGGGAAGUAACUAGAAUAUGUAGUGUAGCGGUGAAAUGCUUAGAGAUUACAUAGAAUACCAAUUGCGAAGGCAGGUUACUACCAAUUGAUUGACGCUGAUGGACGAAAGCGUGGGUAGCGAACAGGAUUAGAUACCCCGGUAGUCCCUGUCUCUUAUAC